rnacentral:rRNA from 1 species
AUUGAACGCUGGCGGCAGGCCUAACACAUGCAAGUCGAACGGUAGCACAGAGAGCUUGCUCUCGGGUGACGAGUGGCGGACGGGUGAGUAAUGUCUGGGAAACUGCCCGAUGGAGGGGGAUAACUACUGGAAACGGUAGCUAAUACCGCAUAACGUCGCAAGACCAAAGUGGGGGACCUUCGGGCCUCACACCAUCGGAUGUGCCCAGAUGGGAUUAGCUAGUAGGUGGGGUAAUGGCUCACCUAGGCGACGAUCCCUAGCUGGUCUGAGAGGAUGACCGACCAGACUGGAACUGAGACACGGUCCAGACUCCUACGGGAGGCAGCAGUGGGGAAUAUUGCACAAUGGGCGCAAGCCUGAUGCAGCCAUGCCGCGUGUAUGAAGAAGGCCUUCGGGUUGUAAAGUACUUUCAGCGGGGAGGAAGGCGGUGGAGUUAAUAACUUCACCGAUUGACGUUACCCGCAGAAGAAGCACCGGCUAACUCCGUGCCAGCCGCCGCCGUAA